UGGGGAAUAUUGCGCAAUGGGCGAAAGCCUGACGCAGCGACGCCGCGUGGGGGAUGAAGCUUCUCGGAGUGUAAACCCCUUUCGACCCGGACGAAUGACCCGCAAGGGUUUGACGGUACGGGUAUAAGAAGCCCCGGCUAACUACGUGCCAGCAGCCGCGGUAAUACGUAGGGGGCCAGCGUUGCUCGGAAUUACUGGGCGUAAAGGGUUCGUAGGCGGUGCGGUAAGUUGGGAGUGAAAUCUCUGGGCUUAACCCAGAGGCUGCUUUCAAAACUGCCGCGCUCGAGUGCGAGAGAGGUCAGUGGAAUUGCAGGUGUAGCGGUGAAAUGCGUAGAUAUCUGCAGGAACACCCGUGGCGAAGGCGGCUGACUGGAUCGCAACUGACGCUGAGGAACGAAAGCUAGGGGAGCAAACAGGAUUAGAUACCCUGGUAGUCCUAGCCCUAAACCAUCAGAACUUGGGGUGGCCCGCGUAGGCGGGUCGUCCCGUAGCUAACGCGUUAAGUUCUGCGCCUGGGGAGUACGGUCGCAAGACUG
rnacentral:rRNA from 1 species